rnacentral:tRNA from 1 species
GGGACUUUAGCUCAGCUGGGAGAGCGUGUGACUGUAGUUAUUAAGGUCGCGUGUUCGAUCCACGCAAGUCCCA